AACACAUGGACAAGAAUAUGGGACUGGCACAGCGUAAAUAGUCUCGGGCAUGUUGUGAGGAGGCCCCUGUCACUCCUACGUAUGGACAUCAACUCCAAGCUCAUGAGGUUCUGACCCUCCAAAUGGCCAAAAACAAGGCAUCCAUGAGGCAAAGAAACAUGACUUUACAUCCAGUCAUUAAGAAUCUUCAUGAACGUGGACAGUGAAGUAGACUUUUUACAGGCCCAUAAAGUCCCACACCGAAUACCCUCUUUGUUUUGGGCCAAGAUGGAAGACAGUGAAGAUCCAAGACCUGAACCAGUGCCUGUUAUCUUAGAUGUUAAAGUUGCAAUAGCUUUAUUGAAGAGGAAAAAAAAAAAAAAGCCCUUGCAGAGUUGAACACACCAUCUCCCACAUAGAGUUCUUUCCCCCCCCUCCCCAUGCUGAAGUUUUGACAUACCCUGUAAGAUGGGAAAUCCCUACUGGUGGGUCAUCAAGGUAGAGUACCUCACAUUUUCUCCAUGCCGUUACACUGCAUGUGCCUGGAUCACAGUUGUGAAGACUUCACCAGUCAUGC